UCUACUCUCUUACCUCUACCCACCUCCCCAAAUCGCCACUGAAUGAGGGAUCGCGUCUUCCCCCUCCAUACGACGAUUCUCUGUGCCCAUGCCUUCGACACAGCACAAUCUUCCCCAAAUAGCAAUUGAAGGAUCCCGUCUUCCCCAGAGCAGCCUGCCUUACCCCGGUGUGUACUCGUCUCUCUCAGACGUCGUCCUUCAAUCUCCCACCUGAACAGCCAAAGCAAGCAGUAAAAUUCCAUAGUCUCCAAACCAUUCCAAGUUGAAGUUUAAUGGACAGAAGAGCCAAAGCGACACAACUAGAGAGCAUUGAAAGCUCUGUACUGUUUGAGAGAAUGCUCUAGAGGACAACAGCCAAAGCAUCCUGAAUCUACGUGAUAUGCUCUAUGUUUUGCAGAGUAAGUUCCUCGAUGCAGAUAGAUUGUUUCACAAGGAAGUUUGUUGGCUCUUCAUCCCCAUUAGUCUCCAUAGCACUUCCUUCUCAAAGGGAAACACAUUUCUGGUAUAUCCGACCUGAUGAAGUACAGAGCAAAUCCCUCUUAAAUCAAUAUUUGGAGUUGCUAUCUCACAGCGAAAAAGAAAAGGUUUUCUGCAUGCGUGGAGAUGAGCUUCAAAAAAGAGCCAUACUUGCUCGUGCCUUGAUGCGCACUACCCUUGCAAGA